GAUGAACGCUGGCGGCGUGCCUAAUACAUGCAAGUCGAGCGAACAGAUGAGGAGCUUGCUCCUCUGACGUUAGCGGCGGACGGGUGAGUAACACGUGGAUAACCUACCUAUAAGACUGGGAUAACUUCGGGAAACCGGGGCUAAUACCGGAUAAUAUAUUGAACCGCAUGGUUCAAUAGUGAAAGACGGUUUUGCUGUCACUUAUAGAUGGAUCCGCGCCGCAUUAGCUAGUUGGUAUGGUAACGGCUUACCAAGGCAACGAUGCGUAGCCGACCUGAGAGGGUGACCGGCCACACUGGAACUGAGACACGGUCCAGACUCCUACGGGAGGCAGCAGUAGGGAAUCUUCCGCAAUGGGCGAAAGCCUGACGGAGCAACGCCGCGUGAGCGAUGAAGGUCUUCGGAUCGUAAAACUCUGUUAUUAGGGAAGAACAAAUGUGUAAGUAACUAUGCACGUCUUGACGGUACCUAAUCAGAAAGCCACGGCUAACUACGUG
rnacentral:rRNA from 1 species